GGGGUGUUUUUGAAAAAAACAUUAGAAAUAGGGGGUCAAAGUACAAAAAGAGAAAAUUCAGCCACGUGGAACAGUCCAGUCAGCAGUCUCGAAGAACCGGAGCAUGUCGUGUGUCAAAACAUGCUGAUGUCAGUGCCACGCGGGAGGCCACGCAGGCGAUUCGCAUGCCCAACGAUCCGACGGCCCAAGUGCGUGCGUGAAUGGCUCAGAUUCGUACCCUCCUUAGGCGUAAUCGGAUGGAUGAGAUCAAUGGCGAUGAAUGAUUUAGAUUAAUUUCUUCUUUAGGUGCUAUCGAACAGACGAGAUCAAUCGCGAUUAACAGUUCAGAUCGAUGUAGGAUGGGUAUAAAUACCUCGCGUUGCAGGGAAACCUAAACCCUAGCCGUUAGCCCCCACUAGAGAAGAAGAACUAGGCGCUGGAGAAGAAAGCCAACCGCCAACCUGUAACGGCCCCAGAAAUUUAAAUGAAAU
rnacentral:lncRNA from 1 species